GAAGAUAAUGAUGUUAUUUGUCGCCCCAGUUUUACACGCAUCUCUCGAUGCUUUCUGGUGAUGAAUCACAUCUGAUUC